UAUAUUGGACAAUGGGCGAAAGCCUGAUCCAUCCAUGCCGCGUGUGUGAGGCAGGUCUUCGGAUUGUUAUGCUUUUUAAGUUGGGAGGAAGGGCAGUAAGUUAAUACCUUGCUGUUUUGACGUUACCGACAGAAUAAGCCCCGGCUCACUUCGUGCCAGCUGCCGCGGUAAUACGCAGUGUGCAAGCGUUAAUCGGAAUUACUGGGCGUAAAGCGCGCGUAGGUGGUUCGUUAAGUUGGAAGUGAAAGCCCCGGGCUUAACCUGGGAAUUGCUUUCAAAACUGACGAGCUAGAGUACGGUAGAGGGUAGUGGAAUUUCCUGUGUAGCGGUGAAAUGCGUAGAUAUAGGAAGGAACAUCAGUGGCGAAGGCGACUACCUGGACUGAUACUGACACUGAGGUGCGAAAGCGUGGGGAGCAAACAGG
rnacentral:rRNA from 1 species